GCAGUGGUGGUUCAGUGGUGGAAUUCUCGCCUUCUAUGUGGGAGACCCAGGUUCGAUUUCUAGGCAGUGCG
rnacentral:tRNA from 1 species